rnacentral:rRNA from 1 species
UACGGGGGGGGCAAGCGUUGUUCGGAAUUACUGGGCGUAAAGGGCUCGUAGGCGGCCAACUAAGUCAUACGUGAAAUCCCUCGGCUUAACCGGGGAACUGCGUCUGAUACUGGAUGGCUUGAGUUCGGGAGAGGGAUGCGGAAUUCCAGGUGUAGCGGUGAAAUGCGUAGAUAUCAGGAGGAACACCUGCGGUGUAGACGGCUGGCUGGACCACUACUGACGCUGAGGCACGAAAGCGUGGGGAGCAAACAGG